UCUCCGGGAGGCACUGAAAAAUAUCUGUGAUGUGAAUAAAUUGAAUAAGUUUGGGAUUCCGGUCCCCAUAAGGCUUCCCGAGAUACCUCCAUUCCCUGACAAAUCCUUGCCCCUCUCACUGCUCCUCAGUUAUUCCCUCGGGUGUCCAUUCCUUAUCCACCCCCCCCCCCCCCCCAAAUCCACAUGGGAGAUUGGAAGGGGUGUUCCACCCCAGAGAUCACAGUGCUCAGGCAGUGUCGGACUUAAGAGCGAUCAGCUCCGUCCACAAGAGGUGCUCACAGGAGGGCCUCCCAUCUCUGGGCCCUGCCCUGCGUGGGCUGGCAACAAAGGCAGAGAGAGAUACAGCCCAGGUGUUGUGUGCUCAGAGUAGGGAGAGGCCCGAGAAGCCUUUUCCCACUCACCUGGGCCUGGUGCCUUCCAGGCCGACCAGAGGAGCUCAGCAAUAAUUCAGGGGCUCCAGCUCUUUGGAACCUGUUGCCAGGAAACAGGGAGACAGGCACGUGCAUCCCUGGGGAGAGGAAUCAGUUUCCAGCCCAGACAAAGCAGUGAAAUGUAAGCCGAGGGCACUGACUGGGGGACUUGGGACCUUCCCACUCCAAUUCACAGAGGCUAAGUGGGGACAGAGGGCAGGGCCCUGCUGAGCGCAGCAGGUAUGGCUAUAGUCACCGGGGCGCCAAUGUGGGUCCGGGGGAAAAGGACUUUGGAAAUGGACUUUGUGAAAGGAAGAGGACUUUUCUGGAGCCAUUCCAAGAGAUCAAAUUCAAGUACUCCUGGGAAGGAGGCCUCUGUGGGGAGAUGUCGCUAUUAUUCUUGGCCAAUGUGGGUCACGGCAAGGGGUCAAGGUGGCAGAAGCCCGCUCUGUCCCACCCCCACCCUAGACUCCUUUGGAUCCGUUCACUUGCUGGGCACUGUGCCAGCUAGGGAGGCUGGUGCAUCUUUAAUGAAGUCACCAGAUCCCUGGGACAGGCUCUCGGUCUCACCAAGUUCCUAAGACAGACCCACUGGAUGCCCUCUGAGCCACUGCCUCCUGUACCUGGGCACCAGGCCCGUUUCCCCUGCAGCUAUGAGCCAGGCCUUCUGGAAAACCUACAAAUCCAAAGUGCUCCAGACCCUGAGUGGGGAAUCUGAGGAGGAUCUGGCAGAGGAGAGGGAGAACCCAGCUUUAGUGGAGUCUGAGACAGCAGAACCGACCUCGGAGGCCUUCAAUCCCAUGUCACAGCUGGCCCGCCGGGUUCAGGGGGUCGGAGUGAAAGGUUGGCUGACAAUGUCAUCUCUGUUUAACAAAGAAGAUGAAGAUAAGCUGCUGCCACCGGAGCCCUGUGCUGACCAGUAUGUGUGUGUGUGUGUGUGUGUGACGGGGAGGGGGAGGCUCUGGGAUGGGCCUGGGGUCGCCUUCUCCACGGCCUUUCCAUAUGGUCAGUUUGUCUUUCUGACCACGGAGGGUUGGGAUGGGCCAGCCCCUGCUCUUUCUGUUUCUCUUAGCAGGAGAGGCCAAAUCAGCAUAUCUGGGAGAUUAGGGGUAGAUUACAGGAGGAAUUUACCAAAUGUUGGGAUCGAGGUGCUAGAAGGUAUUAUGGGCGCUCUCUCUCCAUCCACGUGGGAG